AUGGAGAUAAGCCACACUGGCACAUGCAGCUUCGGCUGUGUGCUGCGCAGCUUUGGCCAGCGAUCACCAAAUAAAGUAAAUGGGUUCGCCCGCGCGAUUUUCAAAGAAAGGAAAAUUCCCCCGUGGUGUCACGGAAAGGUACGGGUGGCAACCACAGCUUCAAUCCUCUCCUUUUUUCGCAACCUCCAAACGUCAAAGGCAGCUGAGAAGAUGGGAUUGCUGAAGAAACAGGAAUGUGAAGUUACUAGCCCAAAGCUGUAUAGCAGGCCAGUAGCAAACCCAGGAAUGGAAGCCAAGUCUCCUAAGCUGCAGUCUGAGCUCUAAUUAAGAAGAAAUUUUGCCCUCUGAUGUUGCAAUGGG
rnacentral:lncRNA from 1 species